GCAGAAGUACCCAAGUGGUUGAAGGGUCCGGUCUUGAAAACCGGUAGGUCGUGCGAGCGGCGCCUGGGUUCGAAUCCCAGCUUCUGCGCCA
rnacentral:tRNA from 2 species